AGCAUCCACUGCCCAGUCUCCACUGCAGCAAAACACACAACUCAACUUGCACGUGCAGCAAUAAAAGGUGUGUAUCUGGCAUACUGGACCCCUUAUCUUUCUAUUCUUCUUCUUCUGUACUAAUCUUGUUGUGUAUGCAUUGGAAUAACCCUGUGUUAAAGUCUUUGAUUUUGCCCAUCCAGCUCUUUAUCCAUCCUGUUGAGCCUUGCUGAUGGAGCACAUGUUCUCAGAUCAAACUACUCAAAGACAAAAUUGUUUUAUGGUUUCCUGUAGUGUCACAGAAGGUGACAUGGAAGAUGGAGUACAAAGGAUGCACUUCAAAAAACAGUUGCAUUGUGUGCUAAAUGUUGGCAAUCAGUAAUAGACUGCAGAGAAAUCAGAAGAGAGCUAGUCAAAGGAAGAGAAAGGACCUGAGGAUCUACACUCUUAUUUUGCUAUAUCCCUGGUGACUAAAGCCACUAGAUGUGGAUACAGACAGGAGCCAUAUCAACUCCAAUCCUAUCCUGAUUUUUGGGCCAGUAACAAACCAGAAAAACUACCGAAACAAAACCUACAGAAGAACUCCCUCUUUAAACAUCUGUUCAGCUGUCCACAUAUCUGUUCUUGGUAUUUCCACAAUGACCAUCUCCUUAUAUCUUCAAUUCUGAGGGCUGGAGACAAGAGGAUUUGAGGCAGCAUUAGAUGAUGAUAUCAGGAGUGAAUUGCAGAGAUUCCUGCCUCCUGAAGUGCCACAAAAACCACUCUGGAAUUUCUUACUGCAGCUGUUAUGCUUUCUCCCCACUCUGUAAUGGUAAAAGCCUGCAUUGCAAACCUCAUCCAGUUGCUACAGGUGCAGAGGAGAGUGUAGCUGAGAGAUUGUGAUGAGAUCUCUGAUUUCACAGUACCAGUUCGUGAUUAUGACUACACUUCCUGGAUUUAUUAUGAUAUCAUAAUAAAGUAAUACAACACAUUAAAUCCCAGGAUGACCUCUUGAUGCAUUCUGGCUGGGAGGGUUGGGGGUUUUUUGUGGACAAGGAGGGUCUUAGAUCAAAUUAUGGUGUGAGGGGUAAAAAAAGAAAUAUUCUGGUUUUAUUUGUGUAGACUUGCCAAACUGAAUGACAGAGUUCAAGGCAAAAACAUGAAAAAAAGAACAUUUUACGUAUUUGCAGCUGGUUCCAAUCUUCUUCUCCAAACGUUUUUUGGGGUUGGUGUUUUUUUGUUUGGUUUUUUUUUUCUUUUUUUUUUCUGCUCUGCUCCAGUCUUUCUUACUUGUCUGAAAGACGAUGGUAGAACAAAAUGUGUUUUGCUUCAUUGAUGUUUCUCACCAGUUUUCCAUUAGGAAGACAGGUGCGUGUAGUGGCUGACUGAUGCCUUCAGGAUCAAUACAGAUACAGUGCGAAUCUCCUCCAGCUUUGUGUUUCUGUUAAAGUUCAGUUGCAGUGGUGUUGCCGUUGCUUCCCAGGAGUGAGACUUUUUGUGUACUGUCCUCCAAAGAGAGGUGAGAUGGGGGCAUUUCCCCAUGAAAAGAUGGAAAGAGGAGGGAAAAUUAUUCUGUUUACCAGGGGAAAAGGAUUGUAUCUAUCUUUCUCACUCAACUAGGAAGCUCACAAAAAGCCUAUGUUUGCACUGCUGGGGUCCAAGCUGCAAUAACAUGGAAAAAACCUGUCCAAAAAUCUGAAUUUUGUUUAACACUUUGACACAACAUUUACAGUUUUAGAAAUACUCCAGCAAAAAAUCAUUAUCUUCCUCCUAUUCCUAGGCCAUUGGUUCUCCAUUUCACCAUUUCAGCAUUUCUCAGCACAUGAAGAAAUCUUUGAUGUUUUUUUCAGUACUGCAUACCCCAAAUCUAAAUUAGGAGUGCAACCCUUUCACACAUCCCCAGCCUACAGCCUUUUUUGUGUCUGAAAGGCUUUUUCACAUCUCUCUACACACUUCCUUUCUGAGCUGCCCUCUCACUGUGAGCCACAAAUCCGCACAGCAUCCCUGACUACUUAUUAAGCUCUGAGAAUGUGUUCAGUAACAUAAAGAUAUCAACUGAAGGCAGUGGCUGCUCUUGAGAACUUAAUUGAAAAUGUAUAAGAGAGAAGGACGUAGCACUGUGAAACUGAGGGAAAAUAUUAGCUUUCAUAUACAGGUGUAUGUAUGUGUGUACAUAGCAUGAUUUUACUUGCUACCUGCAUGUUUUCCUCUCUAUUUUCAUAGUGCCCUCAGUGGCAGCCAUACGUAUAAGGCACACAGCUGCCUAAAUCAGUGCAUGCAGAACUCAGGUUCUGAUUUAAAAAAGUAAAAAAAAAAUCUAUAAUUUUGUCAUGACUGGAUUUGACAGACGGGGGGUUUGUGCACAUAUACACACAAAGAAGAUUUUGUUCAUGGACAGAACAAGCAAGUUCUUUUAAAAAAAUUACUUACCUCCCCCCCUUCCCCCCCAUGUGCUUGUUUUCACUAGAUAUUUAUGUUUACCACAGUUUUUCAGUACUGUGGUGACUGACAAUUCGCUUUUCAACCUGAUGGAUAAUUUGUUUUUUAAUUAAAAAAAAAAAACCCCAGCAAAAUCGACUUGCUCAGUUCCAGGCACUUUGUCUUCAGCCUUAGUAUUUAAAUGAGUGUGUUAAUAGAGUGUGCAUACUCUAUUAGCCAGCC